UACGGGGGGAGCAAGCGUUGUUCGGAUUUACUGGGCGUAAAGGGCGCGUAGGCGGCCAGCACAAGUCAGUUGUGAAAUCUCCGAGCUUAACUCGGAACGGUCAACUGAUACUGUGCGGCUAGAGUGCAGAAGGGGCAACUGGAAUUCUUGGUGUAGCGGUGAAAUGCGUAGAUAUCAAGAGGAACACCUGCGGCGAAGGCGGGUUGCUGGGCUGACACUGACGCUGAGGCGCGAAAGCUAGGGGAGCGAACAGG
rnacentral:rRNA from 1 species